GAUGAACGCUGGCGGCGUGCCUAAUACAUGCAAGUCGAGCGAAUGGAUUAAGAGCUUGCUCUUAUGAAGUUAGCGGCGGACGGGUGAGUAACACGUGGGUAACCUGCCCAUAAGACUGGGAUAACUCCGGGAAACCGGGGCUAAUACCGGAUAACAUUUUGAACCGCAUGGUUCGAAAUUGAAAGGCGGCUUCGGCUGUCGCUUAUGGAUGGACCCGCGUCGCAUUAGCUAGUUGGCGCGGUAACGGCUCACCAAGGCAACGAUGCGUAGCCGACCUAGGAGGGUGGUCGGCCACACUGGGAUUGAGACACGGCCAAGACGCCUACGGGAGGCAGCAGUAGGGAAUCUUCCGCAAUGGACGAAAGUCAGACGGAGCAACGCCGCGUGAGUGAUGAAGGCUUUCGGGUCGUAAAACUCUGUUGUUAGGGAAGAACAAGUGCUAGUUGAAUAAGCUGGCACCUUGACGGUACCUAACCAGAAAGCCACGGCUAACUACGUGCCAGCCGCCGCCGUAA
rnacentral:rRNA from 1 species